UACGGAGGGAGCUAGCGUUGUUCGGAAUUACUGGGCGUAAAGCGCGCGUAGGCGGCUUUGUAAGUUAGAGGUGAAAGCCUGGAGCUCAACUUCAGAAUUGCCUUUAAGACUGCAUCGCUUGAAUCCGGGAGAGGUGAGUGGAAUUCCGAGUGUAGAGGUGAAAUUCGUAGAUAUUCGGAAGACCACCAGUGGCGAAGGCGGCUUGCCAGAACGCGCUCGACGGUGAGGGAUGAAAGCUGGGGGAGCAAACCGG
rnacentral:rRNA from 1 species